GUGAAGGAGGCCAGGACUAACACUCACAGUUAAUUCAAACACCAACAUUCAGCUAAUCCUGAGAUCAGGACAUCAGCAUUCCGACAAAUUCUCCCUAUUACAGUGUGAAGGUGGCUAUUGGGUGACAAUCGGUUGUUGUACUCUCAUGUGAUGCCCUCCAAAGUGAAUAACCUGGCAAUAUGCUCUGGCUAGCCUCUGAUUGAUGUGAUCCCUUCAUGAUGUGCUGGAUUUCGGGAGAAACAGAUGAAAAUAUGAUUGCACGAGAACCGAACUAUCGUGUUAGAGCGGAACCUACUGUAUACUUAAAGAUCCAGCCUCAACAGCCCAUUGUGAGAUUGACUGAGACACAGCAAAUUCUGGAGAAAUGCAG